CAAUUGUUGUGUGUUCAUUGCUUAUAUGGGGUAAAUCCCCCCGAUGUUCUAUUGUCUCUAUUGUGAGUGGGGCUGGAGAUUCACCAGUCUGUUGCUGCUGCAUUGCUCUGUUUCUGGCCCCUUGAUGCUCUAUUGCUUAAAGACUGAGAUAUAAUUGCAAGAUACCUGUUCCUUGGGGACAAAGCAGAUAAGGUGCUGGAGGAUGGGGUUUGCUCCGAUUCCAACUGUCUGCAGCCUUCAAACCUUGGGUUUACAUUUUAGUUAUAACCUUCAACUUGGAGCCCUUGGUUUCCUUGAACCUGGGGGGACCUUUCUGAAUAGGGCUUUGAUGGAAGGUACCUGCUUUGUUUGCUUUGCAAUUUGUGUGAGGUUUCCUUUAGGAAGGGAGUGACUGGGCAGCAGCAGGGAAGAUUCUUUGCCUUCCCUGGGUUGUGCCAGAGAGUAGAAGGAGCAGCCUGAUCCCUGGGGAGGAGAGGACUCUGGGGACAGGUGAUGCUGUAAUGGGACUUCUGCUCAUCUGCUUCUGAUGACGAGGUUUCAGAAAGCUGAAGAGAUCUUCCUUCAUGUCCAGGCAAUACAAAGUGAAGAAUGCAAUGCUGAUUCAACAGGUUUCAAGUCCCUGCAGAGUAUGACAGGCAAUUGGUAGCAGUCCAGGCAGCAAUACAUACAACAUGAGAGUCGUUGAGAAUGAAGUGUCGGCCCUUUCAUGAGGAUGUUAUGCCUUCACUUGCAGAGGUGAGCAUUCAUUAUGAAGCUGAUUAAGGCUUCUUCCUGCUAAACAGUUUCUCCUCUUCUCCUGCACUGUUUUGGGAGAGUAGGAACAGGAGGUGCUAAAGCAGCUGGACACAUAUAAACAUCUUGGUGAUAUUUGCAGUGAUAUUCUAAGGGGAACUGAGUAAACCUUCAACUUCAAACAGCAUUUAAAGAACAUGACAUUUGGAAAAAUAUCAGUCCAUUCAAAUAUCCUGAGCUCUUCAGGCAGAAGUUUCACCCAAACCAUGGAGAGGAAUGCAGAGCUGCCCACCAUGGCUGGUUGAGCUCCUCACCAGCUGUGCAGUGCCAGCUCAAAUACCCUGGUUUCACAAUUCAAGCCAAUAACCUCUGCUUGUUCUCCUCUGAGCUACCUUAGAUACUUCUGAGCAGAUUCUCUUGUAGUGCACCUUCGGCUUGUGAGACCACAUUGCUGGAAGGGGAUUUUAGCUGUGAUGUUGCUCAGUACAAUAGUCCUUACACAUGGCCUUGCAUUGCAUUUUGCCUUGGUUUUCAUGAGGUUUUGUGAUGAUUAGCUCCCUAACUUGAAUUCAUCACAGUGGUAAGAAAACAGCAUACUAUUUAUGUUCAAAUACUGCUGGAUUUUCUACAUGAAGAAUGAAAACCCUUGGGUGAGACACUCCUUGGGUACAUUAGGAUUUUUAUCCAAGCUCUAUUAUAUUCUUAUUACCUUAUUAAUUUUAUUUUGCCUAUGAUGUUAGUUCUUAGUGCUGUGCUCUCUGAUGCUUACUGAAAAUGAUGCAUAUCUGCUGGAGAAAACAGCAGCCAAAAACUGAUGUGCAAAACAGUGAUGUUAACAGUGGCAGUCUACAGGAUAUGCAUUUUCUGUCUUUAAAUAUACAACUACGCCUGAAAUUCCCUGUUUGUUACAAAAACUUUGAUAGCUGCUGCCUUCACAGAGACACACUACUUGCAAAAAGAUGUCUAUGACAAAAGAUACAGCAAAUAAUUUGUAAUAGUAGUAACUAGCUGGUUGUUCCCUGCUUUCCGUGCACUAACUCCAGUAUCUGCUGGCCAGUUUUAUCCAACUUUGACAAAGAAGCAGGUAUCUCAGUGUUUUGUGAAAACUGGGUAGAAGAAAGGACCAAACUGAUUUUGUACUGAGGAACAGGCAGGUAAAACUCAGGCAUUACAGACUGCUGUUAGCAGCAGCCAGCUGGACAAUCAGAAAGUGCAUUUGCAGGGCACAGAGGAACUUGGAAAUAACCACAGCAUUUUCUGCCUUUGUCUUCUAAUGGAGGGGAUCUGUGGAGUAGUGGAGAAGUGAUAAUGGGGAACAGAAGCUAUAAAGAAGCUUAAAAUGAGAUUCUGUAGGAAACCAGGCUGCACUAUUUCUUCUGUUUAUGGAACACUGUGUUAACAGAAGAUUGUCACAGAGGCCUCCCCAAAGGUCAAAAAAGAUACAAAAAUAGUUUACAACCAGUAUGUAGCUACUUCAAGGACUGAAGAUAUUUGGGUGGUGACAAAUGGUUAAGUAGAUGGCACAAAAUUCUGCACAAGAGUAAGGAUCACUCCAUCUGAAAUUUGAUCAUAGAUGCUGGCAUACAUCCCUGUGCUUCCAAACAAUAUCCUUCUGUAAAUACAUAUAUAUAUAAAAGGAGUGCAGUGUAAAUUCUAUAAAAAGCCUGGAUACAACAUCCAUCUGGUGAUGGAUAGACAGUGGGCUUACUUGCUCUGAGGAGAUUUCAAAUAGAAAAGAUAAAAUGCUAAAGCCUAAACUUGAGGUUUAGAGGCAUGGAUUUACUGUUGGGUGGCUGAUGAAUCUGAGAAUAUCUCCAAUAUCACUGCCUCUCUCCAUGCCAAAUCCACCUUGGUGUUGAGGUUCUAGGUGCAGAGCUUAUCUCUCCCUGGGUGUUCAAAUUUGUCUCUGAGCAAUAUCAAACAAGGAGACCCAUUUAAUGGUGUUUCUGUGCUUGUAAUUGAGCAAUACCUAGUAAAUAGCCCCAUAUGUAUCAAACAGAGCUCCACAUCCCAAUCCAUCUUCAGGCUACUGAAACCAUGGCAGCCUGUCAUUUUUAAUGAAACACUGAAAGAAAAGAUCAGGAAUGUAUAUUUGCAUUAAAAGCUUAAGUCAGUCAAAACUAGCUAUUAAUGUCCAUCAUAUAAAUAACAUGCUUUACCAAACUAAACACAAAAGUACAUUUAUUUGGAAGGGCUGUGAUGUCAUCAAAAGUACAUUUGUGUGAUUAAAAAUAAUUCACAUUUUAAUCCUUUUUUUUUUGCUAAGCUUUUUUGCUUAGUCCAUUUGAACGGUAUUUUGGGUAGAGGUCUCAAAUAGUUCUAGAUGAAAUAGGACUAGAUAAAAUACUUAGUUAGGGCUAAAUACUUAGUUAAGGCAAAGUAUCUUCAAAGGAGCUUUUAAGUGCUACCUCAGCGCUGCUGUGCUGCCCUUGGCAUCGCCCUGGAAGAUGCUGUGAUUUAAAGCCGUAUCUGUGAUGUAUUUCUUUGCACUGUUUGUGUAGCAGGGAAUGGAGGACUGCAGAUUGUGAGUACAGGGAUUUAAUACUAUCAGGAGCAAAUUAGGAUGUUGAUACGCUGCCUCCAGCUGCUGGCAGGGCAUAGAAGAAAGGGAAUAAAAGGUAUACUCAUUCCUUUUUGCUACACAUCCAGGACAAUAAUAAGGACAAUUAGUCCUUAUUAACUCUUGCCCUAUUAAUCUUCUCUUCUUCUUCCCCUUCCUCCUCACCAAAUAUGUAUACCUCAAAUGUAUCUACGUGGCAAGAUGCCAUGUAAGUUAGUGCAUUCUACAUAGCACCCUCUCCUGCUGAAUAGCUUCCCUGAGGCAGGUGGCACUGAGCUGUUAAAAUAACUGAAGAGUGCAGCAUGCAGUAUAUUUUUUUCCUGAGCAGGAUGUCACAGGUUAGAGAUCAGCACUACUUUUAUAUGUAUCUGUUGUACAUUUUCACCUUGAUUCCAAAAGCAGCUUUGAGCUAGUCAGACCUUGUGCAUUCCUAACGUCUUUCCUGAAAAAACAGAAUUAGCUCUUAAUAGUCACUUCAGAUGCUCCAAGUGCCUGUGAAACCAUCCCCUCAGGGUGCAUCAGCACCGUAUGAAAUUCCUUCAGAUGGUUUCAAGUUAUGAUGCAAGUUACACAAAUUAAAGUUCAAGAGAACUUUACAGAAGCCAUCCCUUUACCUGUUCACUGCACUAUUUAGAGCUGGAGCUGAUGCAAUGGAGCCAAAACAUAAAUUCACAAAAUCAACAUUGUUUUGACUUCCCUUACACAUGAUUCUGUUUAUUCAGACUGGUGCUUUAAUCAGUGUCUUACAGUUACUUAUAAGGGGACCAAGAGCAU